GAAGACGAUUAGAUACCGUGUAGUCUCAACCAUAAAACGAUGCCGACUCGGGAUUGGCGGGUGUUUAUUCGAUGACUCCGCCAGCACCGUAUGAGAAAUCAAAGUUUUUGGGUUCCGGGGGGAGUAUGGUCGCAAGGCUGAAACUUAAAGGAAUUGACGGAAGGGCACCACCAGGCGUGGAGCCUGCGGCUCAAUUUGACUCAACACGGGAAAACUUACCAGGUCCAGACGUAGGAAGGAUUGACAGAUUGAUAGCUCUUUCUUGAUUCUUAUGGGUGGUGGUGCAUGGCCGUUCUUAGUUGGUGGGUUGCCUUGUCAGGUUGAUUCCGGUAACGAACGAGACCUCAGCCUGCUAAAUAGUCACGGCUGCAUCCGCAGCUGGCAAACUUCUUAGAGGGACUGUUGGCGACUAGCCAACGGAAGUAUGAGGCAAUAACAGGUCUGUGAUGCCCUUAGAUGUUCUGGGCCGCACGCGCGCUACACUGAUACGUUCAACAAGUUCCUUGGCUCGAAAGGUCUGGGUAAUCUUUGAAACCGUAUCGUGAUGGGGAUAGAACAUUGCAACUAUUGUUCUUCAACGAGGAAUGCCUAGUAAUCGCGAGUCAUCAUCUCGCGUUGAUUACGUCCCUGCCCUUUGUACACACCGCCCGUCGCUCCUACCGAUUGGAUGUGCUGGUGAAGACUUCGGAUCGGCCACGCUAACUAGGUCUUCCUAGUUGUGGGGUUGAGAAGUUGUUUAAACCCUCCCAUUUAGAGGAAGGAGAAGUCGUAACAAGGUUUCCGUAGGUGAACCUGCAGAAGGAUCAAAGGGCGAAUUC
rnacentral:rRNA from 1 species